rnacentral:rRNA from 1 species
CAGCCGCCGCGGUAAUACGUAGGGUGCGAGCGUUAAUCGGAAUUACUGGGCGUAAAGCGGGCGCAGACGGUUACUUAAGCAGGAUGUGAAAUCCCCGGGCUCAACCUGGGGACUGCGUUCUGAACUGGGUAACUAGAGUGUGUCAGAGGGAGGUAGAAUUCCACGUGUAGCAGUGAAAUGCGUAGAGAUGUGGAGGAAUACCGAUGGCGAAGGCAGCCUCCUGGGAUAACACUGACGUUCAUGCCCGAAAGCGUGGGUAGCGAACAGGAUUAGAUACCCCCGUAGUCCCUGUCUCUUAUAC